CGUGUAGGUGGCUUGGUAAGCCGCGUGUGAAAUCCCGGGGCUCAACCCCGGAACGGCACGCGGGACUGUCAGGCUAGAGCAUGGUAGAGGCGAGUGGAAUUCCUGGUGUAGCGGUGGAAUGCGUAGAGAUCAGGAAGAACACCGGUGGCGAAGGCGGCUCGCUGGGCCAUUGCUGACACUGAGGCGCGAAAGCGUGGGAGCAAACA
rnacentral:rRNA from 1 species